UACGGGGGGGGCAAGCGUUGUUCGGAAUUACUGGGCGUAAAGGGCUCGUAGGCGGCCAACUAAGUCAGACGUGAAAUCCCUCGGCUUAACCGGGGAACUGCGUCUGAUACUGGGUGGCUUGAAUCCGGGAGAGGGAUGCGGAAUUCCGGGUGUAGUGGUGAAAUGCGUAGAUAUCCGGAGGAACACCAGUGGCGAAAGCGGCCACCUGGACUGCACCUGACGCUGACACGCGAAAGCUAGGGGAGCGAACGGG
rnacentral:rRNA from 1 species